CUCUUUCUCUUGAAUUCUUUCUUUUGAGUUUUCUGCAUUCAUUCUUGCAGUGUCCUAUCUUGCCACAAUGGUAGCACUUGAUGUUCUUCCUUCUUUGUGAUCUUCUUCUAUUCUUGUUACAGUGCUGAGGAGCUUUGCUGUUACUCCUCCCUCGCCUCUCUAUAACAAGUGCCUUAGAUUGGUUAGAGAUUCCUUGCUUUCUGUACCUUGUUUUUUUAUUAUACAUACUGUCCUUCACCAUAUUCAAUGUCAAAACACCUUUAGGGGCAGAAGUGCUAAGUGAUACAACAAGUGUCUCUCAGCUGUCAGAUAAAGAACUUAAUAGAAACAAUGCAUGUACUUUAUCAUCAAAGGCUAUUUUAAUACUAGUCAAUUGAUUCA
rnacentral:lncRNA from 1 species